rnacentral:ncRNA from 1 species
ACUCUAGUCCGACUUUGUGUAAAUGACUUGAGAGGUGUAGUAUAAGUGGGAGCCGAAAGGCGAAAGUGAAAUACCACUACUUUUAACAUUAUUUUACUUAUUCCGUAAAUCGGAAGCGGGGCACUACCCCUCUUUUUGGACCCAAGGCUUGCUCGCAGGCCGAUCCGGGCGGAAGACAUUUUCAGGUGGGGAGU